rnacentral:rRNA from 1 species
UUGGUCAAUGGACGAAAGCCUGAACCAGCCAAGUAGCGUGCAGGAUGACGGCCCUAUGGGUUGUAAACUGCUUUUAUACGGGGAUAAAGUGAGGUACGUGUACCUUUUUGUAUGUACUAGUAUGAAUAAGGACCGGCUAAUUCCGUG